UACGGGGGGGGCAAGCGCUGUUCGGAAUUACUGGGCGUAAAGGGCUCGUAGGUGGCCAACUAAGUCAGACGUGAAAUCCCCAGGCUUAACCUGGGAACUGCGUCUGAUACUGGAUGGCUUGAAUUCGGGAGAGGGAUGCAGAAUUCCAGGUGUAGCGGUGAAAUGCGUAGAUAUCUGGAGGAAUACCGGUGGCGAAGGCGGCAUCCUGGACCGAGAUUGACACUGAUGAGCGAAAGCCAGGGGAGCAAACGGG
rnacentral:rRNA from 1 species